GCAAAAAGUAACCUGGAUUGUACGUACCUUAGAUUUGUAUUGAUAUCAUUGGUGAUUCAAUUUAUUUACCCUCACUUCAAUUUCCACUUUACUUCCACUUCUGAUUCUUCUCAUUUGUUUUUUAGUCCGUCCUUGCUCUUUCUCUUUCUCUGCCAGUUUGACAUUUUGAUAUCUUCUUUGUUAUUCAUUCUCUCAGCAAAAAGUUAUUAAUUUCCCUAAAUUGGUUUGACUUCACAUAGGAAACACUCUUAUGUCUCCAGCUCCAGAACGCUCAAAAUCAACUUUCAUACGGUUUCCGUCUCCUGCUUCAGUUUCAGAGAUAAAAAUAAUAUGCUCUUCUCCUUCUCCUUCAAAGGUCGUCUACCUCUUCGACUGAAAUCCCAAAUGUGAUAUUGUUGCAGCAAAUCAUUCACAUGGGAACAAUGCUUGUGAAGAGCAUAAGAUGGUGGAUGUGCUUUAUGUAAUAGUAGUAGUUUUACUCCAUCCAGUUUGUUGUACAUAUCUGUAGUGUGGUUUGUUUUCAUAGAAACAACGUGACUUGACUAUGUUAAUGUUUUGGUUUCUUUUUAAUUCUAAGCUCUAUUUCAGCUCCCAA